rnacentral:sRNA from 1 species
AAGUCGUAACAAGGUUUCCGUAGGUGAACCUGCGGAAGGAUCAUUACCGAGUCGUCGACACGAGUUGUUGCUGGCCCCUCAAACGGGGGGCAUGUGCACGCUCUGUUAACACAUCCACUCACACCUGUGCACACUCCGUAGUUCUAUGGUCUGGGGGACAUGCCGUCUUCCUCCUGUAGUUCUGCGUCUUUACACAUACACUGUAGAAAAGUCUUAUGGAAUGCUUACCGCGUCUAACGCAAUACAAUACAACUUUCAGCAACGGUUCUCUUGGCUCUCGCAUCGAUGAAGAACGCAGCGAAAUGCGAUAAGUAAUGUGAAUUGCAGAAUUCAGUGAAUCAUCGAAUCUUUGAACGCACCUUGCGCCCCUUGGCUAUUCCGAGGGGCAUGCCUGUUUGAGUAUCAUGAACACCUCAACUCUUGUGGUUUGCCAUGACGAGCUUGGACUUGGGGGCUUGCUGGCACACAGCCGGCUCCUCUCAAAUGAAUUAGCCUGCCAGUGUUUGGUGGCGUCACGGGUGUGAUAACUAUUUACGCUUGUGGUUGCCUGCCAGGUAACCUUCGGUGACGGAGGUUCGCUGGAGCUUAUAAACGUCUUUCCUUGGUGAAGACAGCUUUUUGAACGUUCGAUCUCAAGUCAGGUAGGACUACCCGCUGAACUUAA